rnacentral:rRNA from 1 species
GAUGAACGCUGGCGGCGUGCCUAAUUCAUGCCAGUCGAGCGAACAGACGGGGAGCUUGCUCCUCUGACGUUAGCGGCGGACGGGUGAGUAACACGUGGAUAACCUACCUAUAAGACUGGGAUAACUUCGGGAAACCGGAGCUAAUACCGGAUAAUAUAUUGAACCGCAUGGUUCAAUAGUGAAAGACGGUUUUGCUGUCACUUAUAGAUGGAUCCGCGCCGCAUUAGCUAGUUGGUAAGGGAACGGCUUACCAAGGCAACGAUGCGUAGCCGACCUGAGAGGGUGAUCGGCCACACGGGAACGAGGACACGGACCAGACCCCUACGGGAGGCAGCGGUGGGGAAUCUGCCGCAAGGGGCGAAAGCCUGACGGAGCAACGCCGCGGGGGUGAGGAGGGUCUUCGGAUCGUAAAACCCUUUUAUUGGGGAAAAACAAAUGUGUAAGUAACGAUGCAGGUCUGGAGGUAACCAAAGAAGAAAGCCAGGCUAAAUUAGGU